rnacentral:lncRNA from 1 species
CAGGAGCAAUAGAUAUCCUGUGAAGCCAGCGAAGAAGAUACGGAGGAGGUGGAAAAUCCGUUUCCUGGAGAAAGUGCGAAAAUGACACAGGAUAAACGUCGCGAUUGUUUCGGAAUAUGGAGAGGACCUUGUUUGUGACCAAAAAAAUUUCAAGUUGUCCGCACGUAUCCAGCGUGCUAGAGGAAAGAGAUGCCGAGGACUCUAAGCCAAGGGUUCCGUUAUGUUGGCUAGCCUCUGCCAACCGUCUGAAAGGAGUGGGAAAAGGGCCAUCCCCAAGGAAAGGGGGGAAACGGGGAGGAGGGCUGGGCUUCUAAUGGCAAAAUCUGGACCAACCCGGCGAGGUCAAAGGCCUCAGACCACGGGAGUGUAAAGUAAUGAUGAUGAUGUCAUGAAAAAUCACAAAUGCACGCUGAUAUUCAUGCACGAGCAAGUGGCAAAUCUCCUCGCGUCAUUACCAAGGCACCGGAAUAAUAGCGUUUUCCGCUAGCGGUCUGCAUGCGUUUUGUGGAAUGACAAAAAAAAGGACGGAAAUACAAAAUGAUUGUGCUAUGGUAUGAGCACGAUCAUCUUGAUACAUUUUUAAGCCAGUAAGGGUAUAAUAGCCAGCAGUUUAAACCACAAAAUAAAAGAGCUCAAAUCAAUGGAGGACAUAUGGCAGCAUUCCAGGGCUGAGUAGAGCAUUGUCCUGUAUUUUCGUCGCUGCUGGUACCGAGUAGGGUCUUUGCUGUAGCAUGGAACUGGGCCAGGUUGAUCGAAUAUACGGGUGUGAGAGAGAAUGCGAGUCAAGCCACUUUAAUUGACUCGAUUUGAGUCGAAAUCCUAUUGGCUUCAUGUGUUUUUUCAUCGUCGUGACCGAUGUAAAAGCUACAAUGGUUUCCAGGUUGAUAGGUAAAGGGUGAAAUAGUACAUUAUUAAGCUACACCAGGAAAAUUGAUGGUUGGCCUAUACCAUUCUACAACCAUUCCACAACCAUUAUAGCUACAACCAUUCUCAUUGUAAGACGAACAUGAUGAAGUACCUUCAAUACAUGUUUUUUCUUCUUCUUCGAAUUAACCGCUCACGUUGUCUGUGAUUUUUAGUACUCUGUGACCGUUGUUCCAUUGAGUUUGAUGGGGGAAUUAUUUUCAGUCUUCCCGAAAUGUGGAUAAUGCAUUUUUUGUUGUUGCAUAUGCUCAGAAUAAAUGUAUGUUUACUAGAAAAAUGUAUCACUGAAUGUGAAGUGAAAUAAACCUUAGCUGUAAAUGUCAAAUAAAAGUCUGCCAUUUGAGUUCCCAUGACUCAAUGCCAUGAUUUCGUAACCUUACUACGUUACAGUUGGAAGAAAUAAAGCAAGAAACGCC